rnacentral:tRNA from 1 species
UUAAGAUAAAUAAAUAAUUUUGCAAAUUAUAUAAUAAUCUUAAA